CCUACGGGAGGCAGCAGUAGGGAAUAUUGGGCAAUGGACGCAAGUCUGACCCAGCCAUGCCGCGUGCAGGAAGAAGGCGUUAUGCGUUGUAAACUGCUUUUAUACAGGAAGAAACGACUCUUGCGAGAGGCAUUGACGGUACUGUAUGAAUAAGCACCGGCUAACUCCGUGCCAGCAGCCGCGGUAAUACGGAGGGUGCAAGCGUUGUCCGGAUUUAUUGGGUUUAAAGGGUGCGCAGGUGGUUUAUUAAGUCAGUGGUGAAAGACGGUCGCUCAACGAUUGCAGUGCCAUUGAAACUGGUAGACUUGAGUAAAGUAGAGGUGGGCGGAAUUGAUAGUGUAGCGGUGAAAUGCAUAGAUAUUAUCAAGAACUCCAAUUGCGAAGGCAGCUCACUUGGCUUUUACUGACACUCAUGCACGAAAGUGUGGGUAUCAAACAGGAUUAGAUACCCUGGUAGUCCACACUGUAAACGAUGAUAACUAGGUGUCGGCCGAAUCUGGUCGGUGCCACAGCGAAAGCGUUAAAGUUAUCCACCUGGGGAGUACGCCGGCAACGGUGAAACUCAAAAUGAAAUUGACGG
rnacentral:rRNA from 1 species